AAACAAACAAAGAAAAAACUAGCUACAUGGUGAGUGAGAUGAUUGCUAGAGCUGGAAAGCAUUGCAAAGAAGGCGAGUUCAUCAAAAAGUGCAUGUUACUAGCUGCAAGUAAAGUAAAGAAACC